rnacentral:rRNA from 1 species
GACAGAGGGUGCGAACGUUGUUCGGAAUUACUGGGCGUAAAGGGUGCGUAGGCGGGUCUUUAAGUCAGGGGUGAAAUCCUGGAGCUCAACUCCAGAACUGCCUUUGAUACUGAAGAUCUUGAGUUCGGGAGAGGUGAGUGGAACUGCGAGUGUAGAGGUGAAAUUCGUAGAUAUUCGCAAGAACACCAGUGGCGAAGGCGGCUCACUGGCCCGAUACUGACGCUGAGGCACGAAAGCGUGGGGAGCAAACAGG